CUUAAGCUUGUUUGAUUUUUGUAGAAGACAAGUGGCUGGUAGGGCUUUGCUUGGAGCACCAACACAAUUAAGGGGAUACUGCCAGAAAAUCUCUCCCACAAAAACCUCUAGUAGAGUUGGUCAUGAUGUUAGAGCUUUCAUUGGGGGCGGACUCGUAUCUGCGUGCUUCUACUUGUACUGGUUACGCAACGAAGCUUUUAAAAUUAAAGAGUCUAGGAAGUAGCGUCUUAAAGCUGCCCUUAUGCCGGAAAGGACAACAUGGAGGAAUAAAUGAUUAUGGCCUAGGAAUGUUGAUAUUUGUUAUUUCCUAGUUGUACUUGUGCACGCUUAGUUUUGUGAUGUUAUUUUAAGUUGAGUCUUUUUUAUGCUUAUGUAACUCUCUUGGGGUCGUUGUCAUUUCUUGUGCCAUCAUAUCAAAUUCAUCAUUGUGGUUCUGUGAUCUUCAUUUGAUGCUUUGACAUCUGACCUUAAACUUUGGACAAGUAUCAGUGAACGAAUUGGUGACUGCAAUAUGUUUAAAAUACUGUUCUGAUUCCCUUUUUUAGUA